UACGUAGGGUGCAAGCGUUAAUCGGAAUUACUGGGCGUAAAGCGUGCGCAGGCGGUGAUGUAAGACAGAUGUGAAAUCCCCGGGCUCAACCUGGGACCUGCAUUUGUGACUGCAAGGCUGGAGUGCGGCAGAGGGGGAUGGAAUUCCGCGUGUAGCAGUGAAAUGCGUAGAUAUGCGGAGGAACACCGAUGGCGAAGGCAAUCCCCUGGGCCUGCACUGACGCUCAUGCACGAAAGCGUGGGGAGCAAACAGG
rnacentral:rRNA from 1 species